rnacentral:rRNA from 1 species
CCCUUAGAUGUUCUGGGCCGCACGCGCGCUACACUGAUGCAUUCAACGAGCCUUAACCUUGACCGAGAGGUCCGGGUAAUCUUUGAAACUGCAUCGUGAUGGGGCUAGAUUAUUGCAAUUAUUAAUCUUCAACGAGGAAUGCCUAGUAGGCGCAAGUCAUCAGCUUGCGUCGAUUACGUCCCUGCCCUUUGUACACACCGCCCGUCGCUCCUACCGAUUGGGUGUGCUGGUGAAAUGUUCGGAUCGGCCGUUUGUCGCGGUUUCCGCGUCAUGUGGCUGAGAAGUUCAUUAAACCCUCCCACCUAGAGGAAGGAGAAGUCGUAACA